AAAAAUAAUUAUUAGAGUUUCUUUAAAAUUGUUUCUUACCUUUAUUUACAGAUAAAAAAUAUUUUGAAUAAAAAAUUAAAUUUUUUAAGAAUAAGUAAAAUAAUGAACAUUUAAUUUAGGUUAUAGCUUAGUUAGUACCGUAGGGGAUCGUUAUAAUUUUAGUGAAAAGAAAAAUUUAAUUUUUGUACCUUUUGUAUCAGGGAUAUUCAAAAUAAUCAGUUUAUUUAUUGGCAUCUCGAAGUGGAAUGAGCGAUUAUACUAUAAUUGUUUAUGUAAAAAAAUAAAAUUAUUAAUAGUGUAUUAGUGGUGAUACGCCAGUCGAUUUCCAUCUAUCUAGUUUUUUUUGAAACGAAUUUAAUUCGAUCUUUUAUUUUAAUAAAUAAAAGUUAGAUUUUAAGGGGGAUGAGCUUCUUAAAUAGUGUAAGGUUAAAAAUGAAAUAUAUCUUUUAUUUAGGCUUAAGAUCAGCUAUAAUUUUAAAUCGUUUUAGAUAAUAAGUUUACAGGCAACUAUUUAUAUAUUUACUUACAUUAAUAAAAAAAAAAUUAUUUUAAUUUAUUUUAUAAUUUUAAAAUGAUUAUAUUAGUAGAUGAUGUUUUGUGUAAAAAAUAAUUUAAACUUUUAAAUUUGAUUUUACUUUAUGGUGAAGCUAUGGUUAAAGAACUCGGCAAAUUUUACCUCUGCCUGUUUAUCAAAAACAUGUCUGUGUGAACAUAUAUGCGCAGUCUGGCCUGCCCCCUGAAAAUUUUAAAGGGCCGCGGUAUUUGAACCGUGCUAAGGUAGCAUAAUAAAUAGUCUUUUAAUUGAGGUCUAGUAUGAAUGGUCGGACAGGAGGUAAGCUGUUUUAAUUGUAGAUUUUGAAUUUUACUUUUAAGUGAAAAGGCUUAAAUUAAAUAAUGGGACGAUAAGACCCUAUAAAGCUUUACAUUUUAUUUAUUAGUCGGAAAAUUUAUGGUUUUUUAUUCUUGUUAGAUAAAGGUGUUUCGUUGGGGCGACGAAAAUAUAAAAUAAUAACUGUUUUAAUAUAAAAAUAUAUUUUUAUAGGAGUAUUGAUCCUUUUUAGAGAUUAAAAGAAUUAAGUUACUUUAGGGAUAACAGCGUAAUUUUUCUUGAGAGUUCAUAUCGACAGAAAUAGUUGCGACCUCGAUGUUGAAUUAAGAUUUCUUCAAGAUGUAGCAGUUUUGGUGGUAGGUCUGUUCGACCUUUAAAAUCUUACAUGAUUUGAGUUCAGACCGGCGUAAGCCAGGUUAGUUUCUAUCUUUUAUUUGUUAAAAAGUUACUUUAGUACGAAAGGAGAGGGUAGCUGGAAUAUUUUUUUUAAAAAGAUGAACGGUA
rnacentral:rRNA from 1 species